rnacentral:tRNA from 1 species
UCUGGAAAACAGCAUUCAAUAUUGAACGCCCACACUUAUCGGUUGUUGGAAGAAGUCGGUGCUAACCGACAUGGGUCUGUAGCUCAGCUGGUUAGAGCACCGUCUUGAUAAGGCGGGGGUCGUUGGUUCGAGCCCAACUAGACCCACCAAAUCUUCCGAACAUAAGAUGCGAGGAUCAGUGGGGGAUUAGCUCAGCUGGGAGAGCACCUGCUUUGCAAGCAGGGGGUCGUCGGUUCGAUCCCGUCAUCCUCCACCAACCAAUAUGUCCUGCGGUAGGGCAAAGAAACUAACACCAAAGCGGCUUCGCAAGAGGCCUCUUUGUUGUUGGUCCGGUAUAGACCGGGUCAAUCGGCUGUUCUUUAAAAAUUCAUAGAGUCGAAUCAGCGUUGCCGGCGGAAAGCAGGAAACUGCACCGUGCCGUCGGCAACAAAAAUUUGAUUGCGUCAAAACGAAUAUUCAAUUGAGCGAAAGCUGAUUGAAAUUCAGUAAUGACGAAUUGUUCUCUAGGUAGCAAUACCGAAGAAGAAUUCACAUUACGGCAUAACGCGCGAGGUGAAAGACCUCGCAAGUCCUUGAAAGAAAGCGGAGAUGUCUCGCAAGAGAUGUCAAAGUUAUAGGGU